rnacentral:tRNA from 1 species
CCUGAUAGCUUAGCUGGUAGAGAAUCUGCCUGCAGUGCAGGGAACCUGGGUUCGAUCCCUGGGUCAGGA